UACGUAGGGGGGCUAGCGUUGUCCGGAAUCAUUGGGCGUAAAGCGCGCGCAGGCGGUCUCGGGCGUCGGUGCUGAAAGUCCACCGCUUAACGGUGGGAAGCGUGCCGAUACGCCGAGACUGGAGGGUGGGCGAGGGUGGUGGAAUUGCCGGUGUAGUGGUGAAAUGCGUAGAGAUCGGCAGGAACACCCGUGGCGUAAGCGGCCACCUAGCCCGCACCUGACGCUGAGGCGCGACAGCGUGGGGAGCGAACGGG
rnacentral:rRNA from 1 species